rnacentral:rRNA from 1 species
AUACGGAGGGUGCAAGCGUUACUCGGAAUCACUGGGCGUAAAGCGCGCGCAGGCGGUCUUUUAAGUUGGAUGUGAAAGCCUACGGCUCAACCGUAGAACUGCAUCCAAAACUAUUAGACUAGAGUGUGGGAGAGGAAGAUGGAAUUAGUUGUGUAGGGGUAAAAUCCGUAGAGAUAACUAGGAAUACCAAAAGCGAAGGCAAUCCUCUGGAACACUACUGACGCUGAGGCGCGAAAGCGUGGGGAGCAAACAGGAUUAGAAACCCCAGUAGUCC